AGUGAACGCUGGCGGUAGGCCUAACACAUGCAAGUCGAACGGCAGCACAGUAAGAGCUUGCUCUUACGGGUGGCGAGUGGCGGACGGGUGAGGAAUACAUCGGAAUCUACUUUUUCGGGGGGGAUAACGGAGGGAAACUUACGCUAAUACCGCAUACGACCUACGGGUGAAAGCAGGGGAGCUUGGGAGCUUGGGCGAUAGAAUGAGCCGCUGUCGGAUUAGCUAGUUGGCGGGGUAAAGGCCCACCAAGGCGACGAUCCGUAGCGGGUCUGAGAGGAUGAUCAGCCACACUGGAACUGAGACACGGUCCAGACUCCUACGGGAGGCAGCAGUGGGGAAUAUUGGACAAUGGGCGCAAGCCUGAUCCAGCCAUACCGCGUGGGUGAAGAAGGCCUUCGGGUUGUAAAGCCCUUUUGUUGGGAAAGAAAAGCAGCAGGUUAAUACCCCGCUGUUCUGACGGUACCCAAAGAAUAAGCACCGGCUAACUUCGUG
rnacentral:rRNA from 1 species